rnacentral:sRNA from 1 species
AGAAGAAACAAAGGCAAAGACUCAUAUGGAAUUUGGCUAGACCAUGAAAGCUUUGAGAAGCAAGAAGAAGGUUGGUUAGUGUUUUGGAGUCGAAUAUGACUUGAUGUUAUGUGUAUGAUUGAGUAUAAGACUUAAACCGCAACCGGAUCUUAAAGGCGUAAGAAUUGUACCCUUGUUAGAAGACACAAAGCCAAAGACUCAUAUGGACUUUGGCUACACCAUGAAAGCUCUGAGAAGCAAGAAGAAAGUUGGUUAGUGUUUUCGAGUCGAAUAUGACUUGUUGUCAUGAGUAUGAUUGAGUAUAACAACUUAACCCACAACUCGAGCUUAAAAGCCUAAGUAGUGUAUCCUUGUUAGAAGACACAAAACCAAAGACUCAUAUGGACUUUGGCUACAACAUGAAAGCUUUGAGAAGCAAGAAGAAGGUUGGUUAGUGUUUUCGAGUCGAAUAUGACUUGGUGUCAUGUGUAUGAUUGAGUAUAACAACUUAAACCGCAACUCGAUAUUAAAAGCCUAAGUAGUGUAUCCUUGUUAGAAUACACAAAGCCAAAGACUCAUAUGGACUUUGGCUACACCACGAAAGCUUUGAUAAGCAAGAAGAAGGUUGGUUAGUGUUUUGGACUCGAAUAUGACUUGUUGCCAUGUGUAUGAUUCAGUAUAACAACUUAAACCACAACCCGAUCUUAAAAGCCUAAGUAGUGUUUCCUUAUUAGAAGAAACAAAGCCAAAGACUCAUAUAGACUUUGGCUACACCAUGAAAGCUUUGAAAAGUAAGAAGAAGGUUGGUUAGUGUUUUGGAGUCGAAUAUGACUUGAUGUCAUGUGUAUGAUUGAGUAUAACAACAUAAACCGCAACCCAAUCUUUAAAGCCUAAGUAGUGUUUCCUUGUUAGAAGACACAAAGCCAAAGACUCAUAUGGAAUUUGGCUAGACCAUGAAAGCUUUGAGAAGCAAGAAGAAGGUUGGUUAGUGUUUUGGAGUCGAAUAUGACUUGAUGUUAUGUGUAUGAUUGAGUAUAAGACUUAAACCGCAACCGGAUCUUAAUGGCGUAAGAAUCGUAUCGUUGUUAGAAGACACAAAGCCAAAGACUCUUAUGGACUUUGGCGACACCAUGAAAGCUUUGAUAAGCAAGAAGAAGGUUGGUUGAGUGUUUUGGAGUUGAAUAUGACUUGAUGUCAUGUGUAUUAUUGAGUAUAAGAACUUAAACAGCAACAUAAUCUUAUAAGCCUAAGUAGUGUUUCCUUGUUAGAAGACACAAAGCCAAAGACUCAUAUGGACUUUGGCUACACCAUGAAAGCUUUGAGAAGCAAGAAAAAGGUUGGUUAGUGUUUUCGAGUCGAAUAUGAGUUGUUGUCAUGUGUAUGAUUGAGUAUAACAAUUUAAACCGCAACUCAAGCUUAAAAGCCUAAGUAGUGUAACCUUGUUAGAAGACACAAAGCCAAAGACUCAUAUGGACUUUGGCUACACCAUCAAAGCUUUGAGAAGCAAGAAGAAGCUUGGUUAGUGUUUCGGAGUCG